rnacentral:rRNA from 1 species
AACGAACGCUGGCGGCAUGCCUAACACAUGCAAGUCGAACGAAGCCUUCGGGCUUAGUGGCGCACGGGUGCGUAACGCGUGGGAAUCUGCCCUUAGGUACGGAAUAACUCAGGGAAACUUGUGCUAAUACCGUAUGAUGUCUUCGGACCAAAGAUUUAUCGCCUAGGGAUGAGCCCGCGUCGGAUUAGCUAGUUGGUGGGGUAAAGGCCUACCAAGGCGACGAUCCGUAGCUGGUCUGAGAGGAUGAUCAGCCACACUGGGACUGAGACACGGCCCAGACUCCUACGGGAGGCAGCAGUGGGGAAUAUUGGACAAUGGGCGAAAGCCUGAUCCAGCAAUGCCGCGUGAGUGAAGAAGGCCUUCGGGUUGUAAAGCUCUUUUACCCGGGAAGAUAAUGACUGUACCGGGAGAAUAAGCCCCGGCUAACUCCGUGCCAGCCGCCGCGGUAAUAC